GCCAGCAGCCGCGGUAAUACCGGCGGCUCGAGUGGUGGCCACUUUAUUGGGCUUAAAGCGUCGUAGCUGGGUUGCUAAGUCUCUUGGGAAAUCCGACGGCUUAACCGUCGGGCGUCUAAGAGAUACUGGCAAUCUUGGAACCGGGAGAGGUGAGGGGUACUUCGGGGGUAGGAGUGAAAUCCUGUAAUCCUCGAGGGACCACCUGUGGCGAAGGCGCCUCACCAGAACGGCUUCGACAGUGAGGGACGAAAGCUGGGGGAGCAAACCGGAUUAGAUACCCGGGUAGUCCCAGCCGUAAACGAUGCGCGUUAGGUGUAUCGACGACCACGAGUCGUCGAGGUGCCGAAGGGAAACCGUGAAACGUGCCGCCUGGGAGGUACGGUCGCAAGGCUGAAACUUAAAGGAAUUGGCGGGGGAGCACCACAACAGGUGGAGCCUGCCGGUUUAAUUGGACUCAACGCCGGAAAUCUCACCGGAUAAGACAGCGGAAUGAUUGCCGGGCUGAAGACUCUGCAUGACUAGCUGAGAAGUGGUGCAUGG
rnacentral:rRNA from 1 species